rnacentral:rRNA from 1 species
AGGGAAUCUUCCACAAUGGACGAAAGUCUGAUGGAGCAACGCCGCGUGAGUGAUGAAGGUUUUCGGAUCGUAAAACUCUGUUGUAAGGGAAGAACCAGUACGUCAGGCAAUGGACGAUAAUGACGGUACCAAAAGAGGAAGCCACGGCUAACUACGUGCCAGCAGCCGCGGUAAUACGUAGGUGGCGAGCGUUGUCCGGAAUUACUGGGCGUAAAGGGCGCGUAGGCGGCCUGUUAAGUCAGAUGUGAAACCCCCAGGCUCAACUUGGGGAUUGCAUAUGAAACUGAUGGGCUCGAGUGUCGGAGAGGAAAGCGGAAUUCCUAGUGUAGCGGUGAAAUGCGUAGAUAUUAGGAGGAACACCAGUGGCGAAGGCGACUUUCUGGACGAUAACUGACGCUGAGGCGCGAAAGCGUGGGGAGCAAACA